UUUUUCCAGCUUGCAGACUUCUUUUUCUUAAAUAUUUUUUUUGCAUCGUUAACAGACUUACAAUAAAUAUCAUAGUUUUCAAAGGUAGAAUUAUUAUUAUAUUCUCUUUCAGCCUGUUUUCUUUUAUGUAUAGCAACUGAACAGUCAUUAUCCCACCAAGGAGGUGAUGGAAUGUAACAUUUAGGUGUUUUCUUAAUAGGAAGAGUUUCAUCAGCUGAUUCGAUCAAAGCAGAUGCUAGAGCAUCAGCGCAAACAGAUUCAUUACCUGGUGAUAUACUAGGAAGAUGGGGGGAGAGACAGAAGAAUAGGGAAGUGAUCACUACCAUGACUAGAUGAUAGAACUGACCAGUGUAAAAGAGAAGAUAAAUUUGAAGUACAAAUAGGCAAAUCACUAUAACCCUCGUUAGGUGCAGUUUGCCGUGUUGGGAACCCUGUGUUGAGAAUACAUAACUUAUGGAAAUCUAAUAAAUCUAGUACUUCAAAACCCCA